rnacentral:rRNA from 1 species
UAAAAGUUAUUCCUGCUCCAUGACACUAAAUAGCCGCAGAAUUUUUACUGUGCUAAGGUAGCAUAAUAAUUUGUCCUCUAAUUAAGGAAUAGAAUGAAUGGAAAAACGAAUUUUUAACUAUUUUUAUAUAAUUUACUAAAAUUACCAUAAAAGUAAAAAUACUUUUAUAAAACAGAAAGACGACAAGACCCUACUAAACUUUACUACAGUUCAGCUGGGGCGGCUCAAACAAAAAUAUCUUUUUAGCACAAAAAACCUAAAUAUAUAUUAAACAAGUUACUAUAGGGUUAACAGCAUAAUGGAUCUUUACAGCUCUUAUCAAAAGAUCAGAUUGUGACCUCGAUGUUGAAUUAAAUGUCUAUUAUAAGUAAAAAAAUAAUAAGAAAGUCUGUUCGACUUGUAAUCAUUUACA